rnacentral:rRNA from 1 species
GACGAACGCUGGCGGCGUGCUUAACACAUGCAAGUCGAACGGAAAGGCCCUGCUUUUGUGGGGUGCUCGAGUGGCGAACGGGUGAGUAACACGUGAGUAACCUGCCCUUGACUUUGGGAUAACUUCAGGAAACUGGGGCUAAUACCGGAUAGGAGCUCCUGCUGCAUGGUGGGGGUUGGAAAGUUUCGGCGGUUAGGGAUGGACUCGCGGCUUAUCAGCUUGUUGGUGGGGUAGUGGCUUACCAAGGCUUUGACGGGUAGCCGGCCUGAGAGGGUGACCGGCGACCUUGGGCCUGAGAGACGGCGCAGACUCCUAUGGGAGGCAACAGGGGGGAAUCUUACACAAUGGGGGGAAGCCUGAUGCAGCAACGCCGCGUGCGGAAUGACCGCCUUCGGGUUGUAAACCGCUUUCGCCUGUGACGAAGCGUGAGUGACGGUAAUGGGUAAAGAAGCACCGGCUAACUACGUG